rnacentral:lncRNA from 1 species
GAUUUUUUUGUCUGCCAAAACUGUUUUGUAUCCAAUGAGAAUGAAAGAGGAACAAAAGAUACCAAAGGGACAGUCAAACUCAUAGAUCGAAAAUAAACUGACAACGCCAUGGCUAAGCUAGAGGCUCUAUAGAGCCUGUGUCGCUCACAUUAGUCUAUGUGCAUAUUAAACAAAGGACACAGAUGGAUUCAUGACAAAAUAGUGUUUUGAUGAUUGGUGAUGUGUUUAUAGAUCUUACUUUACUGAACAUUCUUGCUGCUUACAAUUAUCUCUAUCUAUAAUGAACUUGGCCCAGCAGUUACAGUGGAAAAUAGUUUGUAAAAAUUUACAAAAUUUAUGAAAAUUGCAAAAAAAAUACUAUAAAGGGCAAUAACUCCUUAAGGGGUCAAUUGACCAUUUUGGUCAUGUUGACUUAUUUUAGGUCUUACUUUGCUGUACAUAAUGGCUGUUUACAGUUUAUCUCUAUCUUUGAUAAUAUUCAAGAUAAUAACCAAAAGCUGCAAAAAUAUCUUAAAAUUACCAAUUCAGGGGCAGCAACCCAACAACGGGCAGAAAGAUCUUGACCUAAUGAACAAUUUUUCCAUGCCAGAUUUUACCCUAUGUACUAUUUUUAGCAAUGCCGGUCAUCUUUGUUCGCGGUCGGGGUCAUCAGACACAACUGGAUACCCUAAUGAUGAUUGUGGACACGUUUGGUUAAAUUUGUCUUAGUAUUCAGGGACAGGAACCUUACAACCGGUUGUCCGAUUCAUCUGAAAAUUUUAGGGCAGAUAGAUCUUGACCUUAUAAACAGUUUUCUCUACGUCAAAUUUGCUCUUAAUGCUUUGGUUUCAGAGAUAUAAGCCAAAAAUUGCAUUUUACCCCUAUGUUCUAUUUUUAGCCAUGGCGGCCAUCU